CAGUGUUCCGAGGGGAGCUCCGAUGAGGAGCUGAGAUACCGCAAGCUUUAGGCCGGUUUGGCCUUGAGACCGCGGUGACCCUUUGAACCUGAUCCGGGUCAUGCCGGCGAAGGGACAGGGAUGUACCAGAGUU
rnacentral:ncRNA from 1 species